CUGAGUCUGGUUUAAAAUUCAGUUGUUUAUGUUCUCUGGGAGAAAGAAAACCCGAUGGUUCUAAAGUGAGGAACAAAGUGUAUGCACAAAAAUCAGUCCUGAACUCUGAAGCCUUCAGUCCAAGGACUUUCUGCUUCUUUUUUCUUUUUCUUUUCUGUUAGAAUCAGUGGGGAAUAAAUUGCCAGACAGGCUAACACGUUCUGCUGGCUUGCCUGGCACUGGAGGACACAGUGACACAAGGUGGCAGCCAGGGUGUGAGUGCCAGCAGUGUCUGUGCCCAGCCCUGGCAUGCCCUGUGUCCUGUGCCCAGCUCAGAAGGAGCUCAGCAGGAGGAGGCACCGUCCUGCCCGUGGGACUGCAGCACCCUGACCUCAGAGACAUCAAAGCACAGCAUCCUCCGGGAAAAAGGAGAGAUAAAGGGAGAAGAAAAUGUUCCAGAAGCAGCAACAAGCUGGAGUUGUGUUCAGCCCCUUUUGGAACAAUAAUCUCCCCGGAGGUGUGCUGGGCGCUCCAGCGGCGCGCAGCGGGCGAGCCGGGGUCUGUGCGCAGCGUAAUCUGAUCAUGCUCUCUGUGGAUAAGAAACACAGCUUCGUGCUUUUCACCUUCCAGGAAAGAGAUUUAUUAUGAAAAUCAGGUCCCUGCCUCAGAGCACACAAAAAACAGUUGGCUUCAUAACCUUGGGGAAAAAAGAUAAAUAAAGAAAUCCCCUGAGACAUGUGUGAGAACUGACCCCACUGAUAGUUUAAUGAGGAUGGUGUGUGCCACUCACCUGGAUCAAUCAUUUAUGCAGAUUCCUGCCAAGCCCCCCCACAGGCCCUGUCUCAACCCAGCAAAGAAGAGCGUGCCACGUUUCAGCUGAGUGAUGUCAAACUCUGCAGGGAGCUGAGCACAGCCCUGGCCAGGCAUCCUGUCCCAGGCUCCAAGGGCUGCCACCUUCGUCAGGCCAGAGGGACAUUCCAGGAGCUGUGAUCUGACUGUGGAUCAGCAUCCCUCCUGCUGCCCCAGGGACACCUGGCUUGGUGUGAGCAGAGUGCCUGAAAUGGACCCUUUCAUUCCUGUCUCAGAUAGAUCCAAGAUGCCUCAUAAAUGAAGAAAACAAACAGGUUUGUGUAGGAUCCACUAGCCAUGGAAAUCUCCAGAAGAAAAGAGAUUUACGUGGGGAGAAGGAGAGGGAAUUGGUGCUGUGGUGAGGAAGGAUGCCUGGGGGAGCCAGGUAACUGCUGUCCCUGGAAUGUCAGACUGGCUCUUCAUCUUCCCCGGGCUGGGUGCGAGCGCGUGUGGCGGGUGCAGCCCGCCUCCCUUCAUUUGCAAGGAAAAAGAGUCGCUGAGAUUGAUUGCACAAUUGAAUAUGCAGCAUGGUAAACAGUUAUUUGGAAAUUAUUGUUUGUGUUUAAUUAUGACAUACAGAAGUUUAACAGUCAUAAAUUUUUCAUUGGAGUUGGAACGCGAGUGUAAGCUUUAGCGUGCACCAAGGAGCACAAACGAGCACUUGCCACAGCCCAGCUCUGGGGCAGAGCCCCACGCUGCUCAGGGGCAUCCCCUCCUCAGCAUCGUGGGCCAGGGCUGCCAGUGAGCUGGGAAUGCUUAGAGACCAGAGAUUGCUUGUUUCUGCUUGGUCUGUUCUCUGUGUAAAGUCCCCAAGGCAGAGCAGAGGCUGUAACAGGCAGCCAGGGCUUCACUGCCCCUUACACUUUUGGGGUGCAGCCAGGGUGGGGAAGGGCCUGAGGGUGUCACCUCCAACCUGCCAAAACAGGAAAACUUUCUGGUUUCAUGAAAGUGCCUUGUCAGUACUUCUGCUGCUGGCAGCAAUUCUUUCCAACAAUUAUCAGAUUAAUUUUUCCCAUCUUUUCUCUCUUUUUAUUCCUUUCUUAUCUCUUUCUUCUCCU